CGCUAUCAUCAUUAACUUUAUUUAUUACCGUCAUUCAUUUCUGAAUGUCUGUUUACCCCUAUUUCAGCCGAACGUUUUCACGUUCGGUUUUUUUU
rnacentral:other from 1 species